rnacentral:rRNA from 1 species
CCGGCGCACGGGUGAGUAACGCGUAUCCAACCUGCCGUCUACUCUUGGACAGCCUUCUGAAAGGAAGAUUAAUACAAGAUGGCAUCAUGAGUCCGCAUGUUCACAUGAUUAAAGGUAUUCCGGUAGACGAUGGGGAUGCGUUCCAUUAGAUAGUAGGCGGGGUAACGGCCCACCUAGUCUUCGAUGGAUAGGGGUUCUGAGAGGAAGGUCCCCCACAUUGGAACUGGGACACGGUCCAA